AAACAGCUUCGACUUUCAAAACUUCUCUACUCCUCUGUAUUUUAUACUCAUUGGACACUUGCACCCUGCUUGCUUUAAAUUCAUCUCACCUGUGUGGCAUUUCAGAGUCUGCUGGAGGUGUUGAGAGAUGGCAGGUUAAAACAUUCUGUACAUGGCAAAGAGCCAUUGCGUAAACUCAGAUCAGUGCCUAUUUUUAGCUUUUCGAGAUAACGUGCUUCGACACUCAUAUCAACCUUGGAGACCCCCAGAGAAUUCAUGAGCCUUGUUCAGUGCUUUCGACUAUCUGCAAGGUCUUGUCGUGAGCAACAGGAACAUUUUCCAAUGCUGUCUGAAAUGGUGGAAAGCCCAACAGUGAUGCAAGUGCAGCAAUCAGAUCAAACUAAAUGAGGAGAAAGAAAGUGAUCCAAAUUUGAAUUUAAAGCUGCAAGCAGCGAUAAAAGAGCCCUGGCUCCCUGACUCACGUCCGCCCGGUGACUACAGGAAAACAGCAAACGAACUGACAUGAGGAGAACACAGGGAGAAGAGCUCACCUCCCUUUGGGAAGCUUCCCGUCCUCUAGGAAGAGAGCCCAGAUCUGAUGCGUUCCUGCCAUGGCUAUCCACAACACAUCACCACCUGCAUAAACACAAACACA